CUCUUCCCAAAAGUCAGGAAACUGAAAGCUAGCUCCCGACCACCUCUGCCAAUUUACUUUCUCUUCUCUCUCCCAGGUAUCUUACAGCCUGUCUGAAGCCUGUGGUGCCCUGCCCAUGGGAUUAUGUGUCGGUCAGAUCUCUUCUGUUCUUAAGCAAGUACCCCUAUGCCCCAUCCCAUGCCCAGUACCAGUCCUUCACAUUACCUUCCUCUCUCUUCCCUUGGGUUCCCCAGCCUAGUCUCUGGUUAUAGCUCUCCCAGGCCAAGACUCCCAGACCUUGGCUCCUCAUUGCUUGCUGGAAAGCAGCCUCUCCCUGGUAGGUCCUGAGUUUGAGUUUGGAAUCCAGAGGUUCCCCAGCCCCAGCUCUUAAUUUUAGGGAGGGGUGUAAGACUGGUGCCCUGCUGCAUCCUCCUGUUGUCAGCCUUACCCUAACCCUGGAUCUGAUGAGGAAGGUGGUACCACAGAGACACACAGCCAUAGAGGCCAUUGACGAUGCCCUGCCCUCCACCAGUUGGUGAAAACCCAGUAAAUUCUAACUUUUACCUGCCUCCUUAGGAAACCCAUACUAUUCUUCUGCUGAAGGAAUUUAGCAAUAAAAUGAUCCCUAAUGUCUUACUGCUAUAUCCAUGGAUUAGUGUCUGACUCAGCCCUCAUCAGGGAAACUUUUUCUUGCAGUAGAUGGGAACUAACACAGAGAUAUCCACAACUGGGCAGUGUGCAGAGAGUGAGAGACUUUGGAGCACUCAGUCAUAAAUGGGAUGCCUCCAUCAAAACCACCCCACCCCGCCCCACCCCUGCCUCCAAGACUCAGAUAUGUAUGUGGAGAUUGUAGGAGCCAAAGGAGAUGGAUGAAUCCAAGGAAGAACUGAUACACAUGAACUCAUAGAGACUGUCACAGCACACAUAAGGUAUUGAUCAGAUGAGGCCCCAGCACUGAGGAAGCAAAGUAGACAUGGGCUCCCACCCCUAGCCAAGAAACUAUCUGCUAUUGAUAACAGUUGGAAAAGGGCAAGCAUGUUUUCUCCAAUGGAAUCUCACUGGGUUUGUCAGCCACGCAUCAGGGUAGGUCCUGUGCCCAGGAAUAGUUGGCUGACGCCAAACUCCGCGGCGUUCUUGUCAUCUCAUUCCACUUUGUUGGCUCGUAGUCUUCAUAUUGGUCUUUUGCUUGUUUAUUUUGAUUUCUCUUUGUGUGUGUGUGUGUUUUCAUGGGGGUAUUUGUGUGUCAUUUUUGUUAUUGUUUUGCUCAUUUAAGAGAGAGAAAGAAGCUGGGCAGUGGUGGCGCACACCUUUAAUCCCAGCACUUGGGAGGCAGAGGCAGGCAGAUUUCUGAGUUUGAGACCAGCCUGGUCUACAGAGUGAGUUCCAGGACAGCCAGGGCUAUACAGAGAAAUCCUGUCUUGAAAAAAACGAGAGACAGAAAGAGAACAUAUAAUUGGGUGUUUAGGGAGUGUUGUAGCCCCUGAAUUACUGAUGCUAACUCUCUGAGGUUAAUUGUUCUGUAUCUUGGGAGCCUGACCAAAGAGACUGCAGUGUUGUGUGCAGAAGCUCCUAUUCUUCCUCUUGUCAGUGGCAAGCACAGUUAUGCAGGCAGCUGGCUUCUGCGCUUAGGAAGGUAAGGACUGUUUCCUCCUCACCUCCUGUUAUACCCGAGUCCUGUGGGACCCUACAACAUCAACUGUCUCUGGCCCUGCUCCAAGAUGCAGUGUAUUUGUCUGUCAGACUUCUCCAGAGGAACAGAACUGAUAGGAUGAACACACAUAUGGAAUUUAUUAGAGUGGCCUACAGGCUAUGCUUUGGCUUGCCUAGUAAUGGCUGUUUCCCAGUGGAAAGGCCAACAACUGGAGAGCUUUUCAUGAGACGAGAUGUCUCAGUUGGUCUCCUGUGUACUUUGGAAUCCUAAAGAAGUAGGUUCUGACACCAGCAAAUUAGUGCAUCAGCAGUCGAGUAGGUGAAUGUGCCCUUGAGAGUGAGGAUAAACAGGCAAAAUGAAAGAGCUUCCUUCUUUCAUGUCCUAUAGGCUGCCACCAGAAGGUGUGGCCAAGAUUUAGAGUGGGUCUUCCUACCUCUGCCUGGAGCUUCCCGGCCUGGAGAGGGAAGAGACAGGGCACAGAGUAGGACUCUGGUGUGGCUUUAAAGUCUGAGGGUCUCUGGCCGUUCUAACUCUCUAACUAUACUGAAAUGCUGAUGAUAACUUCUGAAAAGUUCUAAAAACUUUCUUGCUGUUUUCUGAGGGUUAAAAAAAAGCAGCUGACUUAGGUGAUUGACACCUGUAGGUGUGUGUGUGUGUGUGUGUGUGUGUGUGUGUGUGUGUGUGUAAAUAAUGUGGCUUUCGUUCUAUUCCCCUCAGGAACUGAAUGGCUCUAACUUUCAGGUCUGCUAGUCAGAAGUUUCAGGAAGAAAAAGGAACACUUUGUAGCAUUUGUUACUAAGUUGUUAAGAGUUUUCUAUAAAGGUUAUCUAAGAAAAGGGGAAAAACCGGCGAGGUCCUAAGCAGGGCAAGGGAAAAAUUCUUCCUGCUUCUCCUCUUUGUCUAAGAAGUGUUCUAUCCCAAAAUAGUUCUCUUCAGCUCAGUUCUUCUCACACUUCUCCUUGUCCUCAACACUUAAAACAUCUUUCAGAAUACAUGAUCACGUGGUAAAAAGUUCACCAAAAGUUUACACAAGAUCAAAUCAUAAAUCGAAAAAGAAGUUUACAACAGAGAAUGUUUGCAUGCCUAUCCAUUAGGAGGAAACAUCUAUCACCUAUCACAGCUCCCCAGGUUCGCUGAAAGUUAAAAACCACAACAAAGUUACUAGUGAAGUUUAUAUAGAUAAGCCCAGUCAAUAUAUUUUUAAAAGAUGUAUUUAUUUUAUUUAUAUGAUUACACUGUUGCUGUCUUCAGACACACCAGAAGAGGGCAUCGGAUCCGAUUACCAUGUGGUUGCUGGGAAUUGAACUCAGGACCUCUGGAAGAGCAAUCAGUGUUCUUAAGCACUGAACCAUCUCUCCAGCCCCCCAAUCAAUAUUUAUCUUCUGUCCUAGCACCUAUAAUAAAUCGUUAGUUCCUUUUUUAUAACCUUUGGUUAAUUAUUUUACAGCCUCUUGGAAUGUGCUCUGAAUAGUGGAAACUUUGGUCACUACUUAAGAGGCAAUUAACUGGUAACACAUGGGAGACUGACAGAGUUCUCAUUGCAGUUUUGACACAUCAGAAAAGGAUCUAAUAGCAGUCCCACUAUAAAAGAGCUUAAUAAUCACUGAUAUAAUUUUAGGAAUUCUUAUAAGAUCAUCACUUAGAAUUAAGAAGUCAUCUAUUUGUCCAUAGGCAUCACUACAAGACAGUAUAUCUUUGUAGAUCUACAGAGAUCUGCUCGAAAGGGGUGGGCUAAUACCUAGUGACUGUUAUAUAUGGUUAACAAUAACAAGAAAAGCAUAUUAAUAGGAAUCUUUCCUAAAAUGAUUUUCUCCUGGGCUUUCUUUGCGUGUCGGAGCUUCGUUGUAGAUAUAAUUUAAAGCAAAGUCAUUUCAGGAAGAUCACCUGCUAGUUAUUAGCUUGUCCUGUGAUGACUCCUGACACACCUCAAAUGAUCCAAUUGAGAAAAAUCCCUCAGAGGCAUGCCUAGCUGUUUGGAUUUUAGUUGAUUACAGAUGCAGUCAGGUUGACAACCAAGAUUAUCUAUCCUAGUCCUGAAACGAGACCUUGGAUUUGAGGGACAACAGCACUAGUCCAUCAAUGUCUUUAUGACAAAGAUCAGGACCUACUCCCAAAUGAGGACAAGGGUGAAUGCGAGAUCUGAAGUCAUAAUAUGCGGAACAGCAUGUUGCCUUGAGUCAUGACAGUACUAACUUACUCCAGACGAGGCAGGAUUAAAAAGAUAAAGUCAAUUAUGGGGACCUGGGGAGAGAAAGGAACCCCUAACUCAGGAGCAUGGCUGAAGCCUCUCAGGGGUUAAAGGCGCUGGCUGCUCUUGCAGAGGACCUGGGUUCAGCUCCCAGCACACACUCGGCAGUUUACAAACAAUUAUCUGUAACUCCAGUUCCAGUUCUGGCCUCCUCAGGCUCACAUGCUCAUGGUCCAUAUGCAGACAAGCAGAAUCAAAGUAAACCUUUCUUUAAAAUAGUCCAACACAGUAGACAUUAGUUUAUGCCCAUUCUGCCUUUCCUAUUGAAAACCUGCGGUUGCCCAGGACUCUUGCCAGAAAUUUCAUUUGUAUAAAAGAUCCCUGUGUGUAACGCUAGUGGCUCCUAGUUUUAUCUUAUAAAGGUAUAAUCCCACCCAGAGUUAUCUUUUAUUUUUACUCCUCAAGAAGGUCAAAGUGAGAGGCCAAACCUACUCCAUCUUGGAAUUGGCCUCUAUCUUAAAAGAAAAAAAGGAAGGGC
rnacentral:lncRNA from 1 species